rnacentral:lncRNA from 1 species
GAUUGAUUUGCACCAUCAGGAAGCUCCUGGGUGAAUGGACUUGAGCCCACUGGAAGGGUUUUAAUUCUUGGUUGUCAAGACAACUGUAUUCCAACAGACUGUGUCAGCAGAAUUCUUCAACAAUCCUCACCUUCCCGCUGCUUACAAAGGUCUGUUAAUGUCUCCUUACUCAAUAGACCAAGCUUUUGCAUUGCCGUCUGAUUAGGAGGCGAGAAACAGGACUCUGCUCUGAGAACAACCCCUCCAUCUCCCAGAGUCACCUUCCUGCACUCCUGAUGUGCCUCACUCAGCCUCCCUUCCUGCUCAUUGCCCCCAAUGCCCUCUUCCUCCUGCUCUGGCAUCUCUACAUUCCAAAAGCCUUCCUUGACCUUUCCAACCCAAUCAAUUUUCUAUUCCAGCCCCACUAAUCAUUGAAGAUUAUGUUCACGCUCUGAAGCACUGCUGGCGAGAGGACCGAUUGGUAGAGUCGUUCUGGAAGGCAUGUCCCCUUCUCCGGAGUAAUUUGGCAAAAUGCUUCAAAACUCUUAUGGGUAUAUCAUUUGAGCUGUGAAGUUACUGUAAGGACAUAAUGCACUAAGAUAUAUAUAACCAAAAAGAGAAUAUGGGAAAAGGGGGUGGGGUAAGACGACAAUGAGAGGUCUCGCCACAAGAUGGUGUCUUAGUUUUUCUCUGUUUAGCUUUUACCUUGAACCAGGGCAGGAAGGAAAUAAUACCAAAAUGUUGAUAAUCUUG